rnacentral:hammerhead_ribozyme from 1 species
AUCUAGCUGACUAGUCCCAAAUAGAACGAAAUGCACACCCUAGAU